rnacentral:rRNA from 1 species
AGAGUUUGAUCCUGGCUCAGGACGAACGCUGGCGGCGCGCUUAACACAUGCAAGUCGAGCGAGAACCAGUCCUUCGGGACUGGGGAAAGCGGCGAACGGGUGAGUAACACGUGGGUAAUCUGCCCUCGGCACUGGGAUAGCCCGGGGAAACCCGGAUUAAUACCGGAUAGCCUUUCGAGCCUUCGGGCUCGUCAGAAAAGGUGGCUUCGGCUUCCGGCUGAGGAUGAGCCCGCGGCGGAUUAGCUUGUUGGUGUGGGUAAUGGCCCACCAAGGCGACGAUCCGUAGCUGGUCUGAGAGGACGAUCAGCCACACUGGGACUGAGACACGGCCCAGACUCCUACGGGAGGCAGCAGUGGGGAAUCUUGCGCAAUGAGCGAAAGCUUGACGCAGCGACGCCGCGUGCGGGAAGAAGGCCUUCGGGUUGUAAACCGCUUUCAGGAGGGACGAAGCCACUCGGGUUAAUAGCCCAGAGGGUGACGGUACCUCCAGAAGAAGCCCCGGCUAACUACGUGCCAGCAGCGGCGGUAAUUC